GCCAGACUGGACUGCCGCAGAUACUGUAGAUCUGUGCAUAUAUACAAACAAUAGUUUAUUCUUACUUCUCAGCAUUUAAAGCUCAGAGAUUGUUCACCAAAAAAAAACUCAGAGAUUGUAAUACAUUAAUAAACAUAGCACGUCAUGAGCUUAAACAAAUAAUAAAUAAACUUACAGGGGAUCAAAAUGGGGUGUUCAGGAGGGAACAAACCCCAACGAAAAGGAGAAUGAUGAUUUUCCUGUACCCCAUUGUGGUGAGUGUGUGGAGACUGGAGUGUGGGAGCCUGGGAGGUAAUUAUUAACUUGACUGGAGUUGGGGUUGGGGUUAGGUAACCAGGUACUGUUAACUUGACUGGGGUUGGGGUUAGGUAACCCAAAUUCGCAGGAUAAAACCCUAAGGCAUGAGCGGUGCGGGUGAGCUUGGGAUUAGUGGGAUUGCUUGUUACCAGCCUUCUGAUGGUUUAAUGGAGCUGAAACUGGCUGUGGCAGGAUUCAUGUCUAAAGCCGUUGGAAAUUCAGUUACCUACAACCCCUCACAAAUUGUAUUGACAGCUGGUGCAACCCCUGCAAUUGAGAUUCUAAGCUUCUGCCUAGCAGACAGUGGAACCGCAUUUAUUGUUCCGGCACCAUAUUACCCUGGUUUGGACAGAGAUGUAAAGUGGCGAACUGGAGUGGAGAUAAUACCUGUUCCAGUACAUUGUCUUUAAUCUUGGGAAGAUGAAGACACCCAUAAAGUUUAUAGCUGCGUUGAUUUGUAUUUCGUUACACAGGUAACAUGCUCUCAUUGUUAUCCUUCUCCCCAAAUUUGAUUCAUCCCCUCCAAUUUAAUUCACCUCUCGAAUCCUAAAUUAGAAGGUGUUGAUAUAUUGGGGUUUCGAUUAAGUCAAUCAAUUGGCUGCGGCGUAUUGGUCUUUAUUUACUCUCUCAAUUACAAGGUGUUCAUAUAGUGUUGUUUCGAAUUAGUUGUGUGAUUCAUCAAGCAGAAUAUAUUUUUGUAAUUGCUGAAUGGGUUUUGUGAUUCAUCAAUGAUUUUUGAUUCAUCAACCUGAGUAGAUGAGCAUUCUGAAUUAAACGUCUGAAUGGGUUUGAACCGAUCGUAUCACACUACUCCUGAUUUGUCUAGUGUAUAUAGGCUUGCGGAUCUUCACCAUGUUGUUAAUUGUGCGUAUAAGAGAGACAACAGUUGACAUGUGCAUGAACAUGAUUCUUCCUUCACACAGAAAUCUCAUGUUACUUUCUUCUUCCUUUUCACAGAAAUCUCAUGUUACUUUCUUUCACUUACUUUAGUUUCUCUAUAUUAACUUUGUUCACUCCACUUUAGUCAUCCACCAUGCAGAAAUAAAUUGUUAAUAUAUUUCAAACAAUUGUAUUUGGCUAUUCUUACAGAGCCUCCAAUGGUAAAAUUAGAAUACCCUAGCCAUACUGUGUGGACCUAGCAACGUAGGAUGGUACUGGCAGAUGAUUUGGAUUCUGGACAAGGCAGUAAAUAGAAUCACAUAUUCCAAAUCCAACCUUGUCUGUUUAUGGAUUCGGAGGCCUAUAAGCCAUGAGUUGAAUUUGUCUGAUUUCGAGCUGCAUGUCCAGCCGCUUUGUUAAUAAUAGCAUAGUAUGUUACUGUCGAUUUUUGUUGCUUUGGUUGUAACCUUUGAUAUCCUACUGGUGCUCUUAUGUUUUGGGAAAUUAAGUACAAGCCAACUGUAAUGAUAUAAUUAGGAGUUUGUCUCGAGUGUUGCUUGCAUAAUUCCCGUAACUCUAGUAUGUUGAACUGCUAGAACUCACUGACAGUUAUGUUAUUGAGAAAGUGUCAUGGAGCUUUAGCCAAUGUGAAAUCUCAGUUCAAUGGUCUUAGUUCUUGUAUGAUUUAGAAACUUGUAUCAAAGUGAAAAUGAACUACUCUAUUUCCUCAGUUAGAUGACUUAGAUCUAAAAGUACGGAUACUUAUUCUCAUCCCAAUUAUAUAAGAAUUCUAUCUUAAUAGGAUCUUUAUCUGGCGGAGCUCCAACAACUUGGACUAUAAUUGUAAUCAAUCAAACUCACUAUGCCUAUUGGAAACGUUUGUGAAUGGAAUCUUGAGAAGAAAUCAAGUGAGCAAUCCACUAUGAAGGAACCUAGUGUCAAUUAGAAGCUGUUGAUAGUGUGGUUUCGAAUAAGUUUUAGAUAGUAUGGGUUUCGAAGGUUUUUUUGGCUGGACUAGUUAGUGGGGUUUUGGUGUGGUUUCGAAUAAGUUUUAGAUAGUAUGGGUUAAGGCUGGACUAGUUAGUGGGGUUUUGGUUUCAGAUUUUGGUUUCUUUUGGGAGGUGGGUGUACUUUAAUGGAGUUGUUCUAGAGGUUUUUCAAGGAUUCAGAACUGGGUUUGUGGAGGAAUUCUGGAAUUUAGUUUGUUCUAUUAUAUCUACAGGUAACGUUGGAGGUCAGUUUUGCCAGAAGAUUUAGUGGGUUGUUGCAGAUUUUUGCGGGCAGUUAGUAAAGAAAAGAUGCAUUGUUCUGUGGUUUCAAGGUUCUUAAAGACUUGGUUUGAGUAAUUGUUGUUUGAUUCUUCAGCUUUUUAAUUUUCAGGCCAAUUUUGGCUUAGAUAGUAUGGGUUUCGAAUAAGUUCGGAUUCCAGUUUAGGGGUAAAUUAUGUUGCUGGAAUGAGUGGGGUCUAAACAAGGAGAUCCAAUGCUAGAUCUAGUUUUAGUGGGAUCUUAGUGGCAAUUCAGGAUUUAAAAUCGAGCCAGCAACUGGCAGGAAAAAUUGGUUGUGACCUCUUACCUGUUCUGUGGAAAGGACGCCCUCUAACCUACUGAGGCUGCUAGAGUCUUUGAAAGUCAAUUGGCAGAGUCCAUCUUGGAAGGUGAUGGGUGACUUGCAUUUCAAAAGCUUGCAACUACAACACACUUGAAAAACUAAUGCCGAAGAUAGAAGGGAACAGAGAGUUUGGUCAGGCAAGGUGGAGGCUAGUGUAUACACCAGCGAUCCCUAGCUUGCUCUUUGUUGAUACUACUGUGGAUUCUCUCAAAUCCCUGGCCAGUAAUAUUUCAUUUGGUACAGAAGUUGAAGUCCAACUAGGGAAAUGUCUUGGGGUAUUUUUCAAGCAAACUCCUUAAUCUGCUUUUGAUAUUGUUGCAACGCACAUUUGAUAUUCUCCAGAUGCAUCGGUUCUUCAAAAAUUUUGGAAACUUUGUGUGCAACAGCUCAGUAUUUCUGGUGAUGGCAUCACAUAAGGCAUCAAGUGAUGACAAUGGUGGGGGAAGUAAGAGAAGAACACUCAGAGAAAGGUUUGCUGCCAACAAGUUGAAGGUAUUUCUUUGUUGAAGUCCGAAGUAGCUGCUGCAAAAUCUGAUGUGGGGAGGCUCAGACCAACGGUGGGAUGUUUGGAACCCAAUAUUGAGACAUUGACACAAAAAAUAAUUGAAGUACCAGACUUGGUCUGAAAACUGAAAGUUGGUUUGUACUUUAGCACUCGAAAUUUGUGAUGACUGACCAUCUCAGAUGGGAAAGUGUUGCAGAUUUGUUUUAUGCCCCCAUUUUCCGAGACACAUGCUCUCUGUUAUGCUCUGAAUAAUUGUAACUGAGAGUACACUUGGAACUGUAGUGUCAAAUUUUAGUUUCGUGGUGAAGAAAACAUUUAGUAGGGUGAAAACUGAAAAUAACUUCACCCCUCGAUUUUAGUGUGACAUUGAGUUGUCGGAUAUGAAGUUCUAUAGUACAUCCUUAUUUCAAGAAUUACUUCGGAAGGCUGAUACU